rnacentral:rRNA from 4 species
AAAUUGAAGAGUUUGAUCAUGGCUCAGAUUGAACGCUGGCGGCAGGCCUAACACAUGCAAGUCGAGCGGUAGCACAGAGAGCUUGCUCUCGGGUGACGAGCGGCGGACGGGUGAGUAAUGUCUGGGAAACUGCCUGAUGGAGGGGGAUAACUACUGGAAACGGUAGCUAAUACCGCAUAAUGUCGCAAGACCAAAGUGGGGGACCUUCGGGCCUCAUGCCAUCAGAUGUGCCCAGAUGGGAUUAGCUAGUAGGUGGGG